rnacentral:misc_RNA from 1 species
GUGAAUCAUCGAAUUUUUGAACGCAAAUUGCGCCUUUUUCGGAAGGCAUGUCUGUUUGAGGGCACCAUUUAACAAAUAAUGUGCAUUUUUGUGUGCACACGUUGAUGAGCUUUCCAAAAUUAUGUAUUAUUUUUGGUGGCGCAUAAUAAACAGCGCGAUGCUUUUUUUCGGUCGGGGUGAAUAAAAUUUUUUCUUUGCUGGGGUGGUGAAAAGGGUGAUUG